AGACGCUUCAAAGAUGGGUCUUUUUCCAUCACUAAUGAUAAAAUGGAGGACAGACUCUGAUCAUGACUUUUAAAAGGAUUAUGACGAAAAGUGAAAGCCCUUUUUAACUAAGGCCGAAGCGUGGCUGUUGGCUUCUCCUGCUUAUGCAGUGCGGCCUGUGUUGGCCUGAGAUGUGAACAGGACAUCGAUGACUGCAACCUGAAUGCCUGUGAGCACACUUCUGCCUGCAAAGAUCUGUAUCUCCCAAGAGCCAAAGAGGAAACCCUCUGGAGAAGACCCCCUUGAAAACGGUCUGCCAUCUUUCUUCCAUUUCAUUGGAUCCCACUGCCUUGAGGCAGUAGAAUAAAGUGGCUAAGAACUGGGGUCUGAAGCCUGACUACUGUAUUCACCUGGUGGCUCAACCAUCUGUAAGCUCUAUAACUUUGGGCUAACUAUGGCAUUCUUCUGUGCUUCAGUUUCCUGAGCAAUGUGAGGAAAUCUAUGGGCACAGUAAUGGAAGGAAUUGCUAUUUUUGCGAGGUGAUGAGGAAAAGUUAAAAGGUGAAAUUUAAGUAAAGAUCUGAAAAAAGCAAGAGAGGGAAUGUGCCGUCUGGAUAUCUCUGGGAGAAUGGUCAAGGUGAAGGGAAGAGCAUGUGUCAAAUUCCUAAAGGAAGAGUUUGUUUGGCCUGGCAAGAAAUAGAAAUGGAGGUGACCGCGGCUGGACUGGAAAAAUGUGGUCAAGAAUAGAUGACUUCAAAAAGGAGGUGUGGAGGCAGAUGAUGACAGACCUGGUAGGCUGUCAUCAAGACUGUUUUUGACUCUGAAAGAGGGGAGAAGUCAAUGAAGGACUUUGAAUAGAAGUGUGAUAAAAUCUGACUAAAAUUCUCUCUUUUCCUGGGGUUUAAUUCUUCCUUUCCUCUACCACAUUGCAUUCUACUUCAGUGGGUUUACCCAUCCUUGUUCCUCAUGCAAGAUUCUUGACGGCCAGGGCCAUUCAUUAUUCAUCUUGGAAUCUACAGAUUCUAGUACACUGCCUGCACUAAAAUAGAUGCUCAAUAAUUAUGUGCUGAAGGAAUGAAUUGCAACAAGGAGAAAAAUACAGCCCUGAAUUAGUCAGCUGAGCGCAGUAGAAAGAGCUGUGUUCCGAAAUUCAGUAGAUUUGGAGUUUUUUUUCUCAGAAACACUGCCUUUGUGACCUUGGGACAAUUCUGUAAUUAUUGACUCAUUCUUCAAACCUUUUUGAUUUAAUUCUACUAACAAGGUAUUGCAUCUCUUAAAUUACGUGGGUCUUGGUUUCCUUGUUUUUACAAUGGAAGCUGCACUCACCUGUAAAUUCCUGUUCUCUUUCAAGACAUCCAGUUCUAAAUUAAGGGUGUUGUGAGCCUCAAGGAAUUUUUGUCUUAACUCACUCAAAUGGACCAUUUCCCAGGUAUGUUUUAAUGAAACUGAAGACUAGAAACUAUCUCCCAACUAUUAAAGCCUGAGGCCUAUUGAGAAGUCAUUAGUUUUAUACAACUUUAAAACGCUUCCUCCCAUUCCGUUUGACAUUGCUAAUGAUCUUGAAUCUACUUUUCCCCUUGAUAUUCUUAUAUUGUCUAAUUCAUAAAACUUAACAAAGCAUAUACUACACAUAAACCUACAUCACUCUUCAAUAUAAAGGAGAUAGGGACACAUUAAAAUACAUGCAUUAAUGCAGCUGCAUAAAAGCAACUGUAUUAGUUACCAUCAGACAUGCCGUAAUAAGAAUUCAGCCACUAAUUAUUGAAAUAUGCAUUUAAUAAUUCAUGUUUCAUUAAUAAUGUACCAUAAAAAUACAGCAUAUAAAGGAAUCUGUGAUAUAUUUAUUGUGGCAUUCUGGAAAAUUAUCUUGAGGCUACAGACUAAUUUAAAAUAUGAUCAUUCUUAUCGCACAUUCUAGGCCAUUUCAUGAAGCAGCCAUAUAUUCUAUUCAUGACCGAGCAUUAACUUGGCUCCUCUGAAAUUUUUCUGCACUAUGUUUAGUGCCUUGAGGGAGUAAGGUGGGAUUUAAAUGAAGAUCAUUUCUCCAUAAGCAUUGCACAUUACUGUAGCAUGUUGAAAUAAUACUAAAUUUAGCAUUGCUGUAUUUUAUGUGGAGGAAAAGAAUAAGCUUGCAGCAUAUUUUUCUAUUAUUGCCCAUCCCAGGGUGGAAAGUCUCUCUAUAUUUUUAAUUAUAGCCAUGGAAGACUAAACAUGAGAUGUCGUUUAUUUCACUUGAAGGAUUUUCUACUAUAUACGAUCACUUGGGACAACAGGGUUUGGUGGUGUCCCUGAGGACUGUGUGGUUCUGAUUGUGAUGACAUCUCAAAGUAACGUCCAAAAUGUUGUUUAUGUCAUCAGAUACUGAAAAUAGUUUGCUAUGGCCCAAGGCAUGGCAGCUUUAGGGAAUUUUCAAAGUUGUCAUCCAUGUUUGUUAAUUAAUCGAGGUAAUAGUGUAUCUUUGAAAAUAUUCCUUAUUGUUCAGGUGACUAUAUUGCUUAAAUAUAUUUGUAUUGCAUAACAAAAGUAGUCCUUAAUUUUGAUUAUAUAACUUAACAAUAACUAUUUUGCUCAGCUUUUUGCCUCCACUGUUGUAAUUGAGUAUGUAGGACCUUCCUGGCAACAACUGAUCUUUGCUUUUUCUCCUCACUCUUGGCUAUAGUCAGAUGCUUCCAAGGACCAUGCCCUCAUCUAGCUGCCCUUGGAAACCUUGAAGAGCAUCCAGUCAGAGCCAAUGUCUGUCUUUAUGCUCCUUCCAAAUAAUUAAUUUCUCGUAUUUUUCUGCUUUCUUUGCCUUACCUCUCCAACACUUGGUGGUAAUUUCUUUUGGGGUGGUAGGGUUUCUACCUCAAUUGUGGGAGAUACAUUGCUUUUAUUUUUACUUCUGUUCUUUACUUUAAUGGUAAGAUCAUAAGAUCCCAUAAGGCAAAAUGCGGUCCCUCAACCUGCAGCAUCAGCAUCACCUGGGAACGUUUUAGAAAUGCAGAAUCUCAGGCCCCAUCUCAGACCUAUCGAAUGGGAAAGUCUGGACUGGGACCCAAAAACCUUAAUGAGGUUUCCACAGAAUUCUAAUCACACUGGAGUUUAAGAAUCAUAGCCAUAAGGCUUUGGUAUUAUCUAGGAUUUUGAAUUUCUUCUUCCAACUAUAGUGGGUUUGGCCUUGAUUUCUCCCUUUGCAUAUGUCCUAGUUUGAGUUUGGUUUCCUGCUUCUGAGUCGUCUUCUCACCCAGAACACCACAGUGGGUGGCAAGCCUGGAUUCUUUGCUACCAAAUAUUGUCCAUAAUGAACUCCCUUCACUAUUCUAUACUACUGGUCAAGAUGACUUUUAAAGUAGGUGCUUUCAUAGGACCUUGAAUUAAUUCUCAUGGGACAGCUUCUCAAUCUUUCCCAGGUAGGGCCCAGAGAGACAUCUCUUAUUUACGAACUGUCUUUUUAAAUUCUUAACCCAAAUAGACAAAGAAAAAUAGUACAAAGUGUAACGUAUCUCCCAAUCGGAUUAACUCUAUUGAAUAUAAUUAGGAAAGUCAUUGUGAUUCCUCUUCUUUUCCAAAGAAAAUAGUCACCUGGCUCUACCUAAGUCAGUCCUGCCAAGUUCACCACAACUGGAGGACUUGUGCUAUUAAUUAGUAUACCAGUAUAAUUUUAUUUACGUAGAUGGGGAAAUUUACUUUCGUCUCAUUUUAAGCUCACGUUGCCUAUUUCAAACCAUUAUUGAAACAUGUUAGUGACAGAAUCAUAGCUCUCUUUUGUGUCUACAUGAGUAGAGAUGGAUUUCAUAAUUUGUAAUAAAUACUAGUUGAUAAAGAUGGUUAUGCUGAAAAUAGGGCUUUGCACUAUAGGAUAGGCCAAUGCUAUAAAAUUAUAAGCCAUGCCACUUUGAGCAUGCCUCAUUUUGUAUUCAUCAUAUGUUAAUUUUUAAAUCUCUUCCACAAAAAUGUCCCCCCAAAGCAACUGUUCAGCGUCCGAGUUGACAGCUUCUU